rnacentral:rRNA from 1 species
GGGCAACCCUGGUGGCGAGUGGCGAACGGGUGAGUAAUAAAUCGGUACGUGCCCAGUAGUGGGGGAUAACCAGUCGAAAGACUGGCUAAUACCGCAUACGACCUACGGGUGAAAGCGGGGGAUCGCAAGACCUCGCGCUAUCGGAGCGGCCGAUUUCCGAUUAGCUAGUUGGUGAGGUAAAGGCUCACCAAGGCGACGAUCGGUAGCUGGUCUGAGAGGACGGCCAGCCACACUGGGACUGAGACACGGCCCAGACUCCUACGGGAGGCAGCAGUGGGGAAUUUUGGACAAUGGGCGAAAGCCUGAUCCAGCCAUGCCGCGUGCGGGAAGAAGGCCUUCGGGUUGUAAACCGCUUUUGGCAGGAACGAAAAGGCGCGGGCUAAUACCUCGCGCUAAUGACGGUACCUGCAGAAUAAGCACCGGCUAACUACGUGCCAGCAGCCGCGGUAAUACGUAGGGUGCGAGCGUUAAUCGGAAUUACUGGGCGUAAAGCGUACGCAGGCGGCUUGGUUAGACAGAUGUGAAAUCCCC